GUAGUUAGCCGGGGCUUCCUCCUUGGCUACCGUCACUUUCUUCGUCACCAAGGACAGAGGUUUACAACCCGAAAGCCUUCUUCCCUCACGCGGCGUUGCUGGGUCAGGCUUGCGCCCAUUGCCCAAUAUUCCCCACUGCUGCCUCCCGUAGGAGUCUGGACCGUGUCUCAGUUCCAGUGUGGCCGAUCAGCCUCUCAGCUCGGCUACCCAUCGUCGACUUGGUGGGCCGUUACCCCGCCAACUAUCUAAUGGGACGCGAGCCCCUCCUUCUGCGGAUUGCUCCUUUGACCUCUCUCCGAUGCCGGAGCGUGGUCUUAUGCGGUAUUAGCACUUGUUUCCAGGUGUUAUCCCCCUCAAAAGGUCAGGUUGCUCACGCGUUACUCACCCGUUCGCCACUAGGUAUCAACCGAAAUCAAUACCCCGUUCGACUUGCAUGUGUUAGGCACGCCGCCAGCGUUCGUCCUGAGCCAUAAUCAAACUCUGA
rnacentral:rRNA from 1 species